GACGAACCGUGCGAACGUUGUUCGGAAUCACUGGGCAUAAAGGGCGCGUAGGCGGCUUAUCAGGUCAGAGGUGAAAUCCGGCAGCUCAACUGUCGAAGUGCCUUUGAUACUGACGAGCUCGAGGGAGGUAGGGGUGUGCGGAACUUCCGGUGGAGCGGUGAAAUGCGUUGAUAUCGGAAGGAACGCCGGUGGCGAAAGCGGCGCACUGGACCUCUUCUGACGCUGAGGCGCGAAAGCCAGGGGAGCAAACGGG
rnacentral:misc_RNA from 1 species